rnacentral:rRNA from 1 species
CGCGGUAAUACGGAGGGUGCGAGCGUUGUUCGGAAUUAUUGGGCGUAAAGGGUGCGUAGGCGGCCUAUUAAGUCAGUUCUGAAAUAUCCCGGCUUAACCGGGAGGGUGGGAUUGAUACUGAUGGGCUUGAGUGGACUCGAGGUAGGCGGAAUUGACGGUGUAGCGGUGAAAUGCUUAGAUAUCGUCAAGAACACCGAUAGUGUAGACAGCUUACUAGAUUUCAACUGACGCUGAGGCACGAAAGUGUGGGGAUCAAAC